UAGGGAAUCUUCCGCAAUGGACGCAAGUCUGACGGAGCAACGCCGCGUGAGUGAAGAAGGAUUUCGGUUCGUAAAACUCUGUUGUUAGAGAAGAACAGCGCAUAGAGUAACUGUUAUGCGUGUGACGGUAUCUAACCAGAAAGCCACGGCUAACUACGUGCCAGCAGCCGCGGUAAUACGUAGGUGGCAAGCGUUGUCCGGAUUUAUUGGGCGUAAAGCGAGCGCAGGCGGUCAAUUAAGUCUGAUGUGAAAGCCCCCGGCUCAACCGGGGAGGGUCAUUGGAAACUGGUUGACUUGAGUGCAGAAGAGGAGAGUGGAAUUCCAUGUGUAGCGGUGAAAUGCGUAGAUAUAUGGAGGAACACCAAUGGCGAAGGCAGGUCUCUGGGCUGUUACUGACGCUGAGAAGCGAAAGCGUGGGGAGCGAACAGG
rnacentral:rRNA from 1 species